rnacentral:rRNA from 1 species
CCCUUAGAUGUUCUGGGCCGCACGCGCGCUACACUGAUGCAUUCAACGAGUCUAAAACCUGCUCUGAUAGGGGUGGGUAAUCUUUUGAAUGUGCAUCGUGAUUGGGAUAGAUGAUUGCAAUUUUUCAUCUUCAACGAGGAAUGCCUAGUAAACGCAAGUCAUCAGCUUGCAUUGAUUACGUCCCUGCCCUUUGUACACACCGCCCGUCGCUCCUACCGAUUGAAUGAUCCGAUGAAUAUCAUGGAUUGAGGAUUAUAGCAGGUUCGCCUGUCUUGAUCUUCGAGAAGUGACGUAAAUCUUAUCAUUUAGAGGAAGGAGAAGUCGUAACA